UAACGCUGCGGUGUCCGAUCAACAUUUUUAAAGGCCCUCUUGGUCGCAGAGACAACAUUUUGCUAUUUGAAAGACCUUUCUGCAAUUCUACACAUUUUGCCAUUGUGGUAGAGGUACCAUUUUACAGUUUUAAAACUAGUUUACUGCAAUUCAUAUUUUUUUGCAAUGGUUUUUGCUCUUAUGUUAUCUGAGUGACUCAAACAUUAUAAUAAAAUCAGUGGGGGCCCAAUGCCAAGACAUUUUUAAACUUUUUGAUAUUCUUUGACUAGUCUGUUUUUAUUUUGGUGAUUGUUAGUUCUCAAAGAUGAGUAUUCAAAACAUUAAGAACACCUGCUCUUUCCAUGACAUAGACAGACCAGCAAUGUUCCCUCUCAUUUUUUAAAUCACUGAGCAAAUUUCAGGUCUGCUGAGUGCAAACUGUACCCGCUUUAAGUUUGUUUUAACAGUGGUCAAAUAUGCUACUGUGGCUAUUUGAUCAUCAUGUAGGCCUACUAGAGCCGGCCUACCAUCCAAAAAGAGAAAAUGCCAGUGUGUGGUGUUCAAAGGAAGCCAACAUUCCAUGAGACUUUAAAAAAAAACACGCAGGGCUUGACAUUAACCUGUUUAUUCACUUGUCCUUCAGAUAAGGAGGUGAGUGAGUGAAAUGUUGUUUUGUUGUUUGAUGCAAGAAACCGCUUCAGAAAAAAAAGCCUAAUUAUUCUCAUACCAUUAUUACAGAGAAUCAGACAAAUUAGGUCUGUGUAGAAUAUGUGCCUGAGUCAUGCCUGUAUGUGCCUGAGUCAUGCCUACAACAACAUCUCUUGGUUAGUUUUGCAUACUGGAGCAGCAGGUAGCUGGCAGGUAGCCUAGUGGUGAGAGCCGAAAGGUUGCAAGAUCGAAUCCCUGAGCUGACAAGGUAAAAAUCUGUCGUUCUGAACAAGGCAGUUAACCCCCUGGGGUUCCUAGGCUGUCAUUGAAAAUAAGAAUUUGUUCUUAACUGACUUGCCUAGUUGAAUAAAGAUAAAAUGUUAAGUCUUGCAUAGUUUGUUUUGUUUCGGCAUGUUGCAUUGAAAGUGGCUAAUAUUGCAUUGAUUUCAUCGCAAUUCCCACCAUAAAGGGAAACGUUGUGGGGAAAACUCUAGAAAGUUCAAUUAAGUUCAAUCUUGUGCUUCUCUGGACGAGCUGAUAUUUCUUCUGCACUAAGCGCACAUCCACAGCUUAGAGGAAACAUUGCUGACCAGGUGAAUCCAGGUCAAAGCUAUGAUCCCUUAUUGAUGUCACUUGUUAAAUCCACUUCAAUCAUUGUAGAUGAAGGGGAGGAGACAGGUUAAAGAAGGAUUUUUAAGCCUUGAGACAAUUGAGAAAGGGAUUGUGUAUGUGUGCCAUUCAGAGGAUGAAUGGGCAAGACAAAAAAUGUAAGUGCCUUUGAAUGGGGUAUAGUAGUAGGUGACAGGCGCACUUUGUGUCAAGAACUGCAAUACUGCUGGGUUUUUCCCGCUCAACAGUUUCAUAUGUGUAUCAAGAAUGGUCCACCAUACAAAGACUUCCAUCCAACUUGACACAACUGUUGGAAGCAUUGGAGUCAACAUGGGUCAGCAUCCCUGUGGAACGCUUUGAAACCUUGUGAAAAUAAAGACGAGAAAUAAAAAGGCAUCCAGAGGAGGAUAGGAUAGGUAGAGGAUAGGUAGAGGAGAGGAUAACCAGAGGAUAGGUAGAGGAUAGCCAGAGGAUAGGUAGAGGAAGAGGAGAGGAUAGUCAGAGGAUAGGUAGAGGAGAGGAUAGUCAGAGGAUAGGUAGAGGAGAGGAUAGUCAGAGGAUAGGUAGAGGAGAGGAUAGCCAGAGGAUAGGUAGAGGAGAGGAUAGUCAGAGGAUAGGUAGAGGAGAGGAUAGCCAGAGGAUAGGUAGAGGAGAGGAUAGCCAGAGGAUAGGUAGAGGAGAGGAGAGGAUAGGAUAGGUAGAGGAAGAGGAGAGGAUAGCCAGAGGAUAGGUAGAGGAGAGGAUAGCCAGAGGAUAGGUAGAGGAGAGGAUAGCCAGAGGACAGGUAGAGGAGAGGAUAGCCAGAGGAUAGGUUUAGGAGAGGAUAACCAGAGGAUAGGUAGAGGAGAUGAUAGCCAGAUGACAGGUUUAGGAGAGGAUAACCAGAGUAUAGGUAGAGGAGUGGAUAGCCAGAGAAUAGUUAUAGGAGAGGAUAGCCAGAUGACAGGGAGAGGAGAGGAUAGCCAGAGGAUAGAUAGAGGAGAUGAUAGCCAGAGGAUAGGUUGAGGAGAGGAUGGCCAGAGGAUAGGUAGAGGAGAGGAUAGCCAGAGGACAGGUAGAGGAGAGGAUAUUGAGGCUGUUCUGAGGGUAAAAAAUAGGAGAGGAUAGCCAGAGGAUAGGUAGUGGAGAAGAUAACCAGAGGAUAGGUAGAGGAGAGGAUAGCCAGAGGACAGGUAGAGGAGAUGAUAGCCAGAGGAUAGGUAGAGGAGAUGAUAGCCAGAGGAUAGGUAGAGGAGAUGAUAGCCAGAGGAUAGGUAGAGGAGAUGAUAGCCAGAGGAUAGGUAGAGGAGAGGAUAACCAGAGGAUAGGUAGAGGAGAUGAUAGCCAGAUGACAGGUUUAGGAGAGGAUAACCAGAGUAUAGGUAGAGGAGUGGAUAGCCAGAGAAUAGGUAUAGGAGAGGAUAGCCAGAGGAUAGGUUUAGGAGAGGAUAGCCAGAGGAUAGGUAGAGGAGAGGAUAGCCAGAGGAUAGGUAGAGUAGAUGAAAGCCAGAUGACAGGUAGAGGAGAGGAUAGCCAGAGGAUAGAUAGAGGAGAUGAUAGCCAGAGGAUAGGUUUAGGAGAGGAUGGCCAGAGGAUAGGUAGAGGAGAGGAUAGCCAGAGGACAGGUAGAGGAGAGGAUAUUGAGGAUGUUCUGAGGGUAAAAAUUAGGAGAGGAUAUCCAGAGGAUAGGUAGAGGAGAGGAUAACCAGAGGAUAGGUAGAGGAGAGGAUAGCCAGAGGACAGGUAGAGGAGAGGAUAGCCAGAGGAUAGGUUUAGGAGAGGAUAACCAGAGGAUAGGUAGAGGAGAUGAUAGCCAGAUGACAGGUUUAGGAGAGGAUAACCAGAGUAUAGGUAGAGGAGUGGAUAGCCAGAGAAUAGUUAUAGGAGAGGAUAGCCAGAUGACAGGGAGAGGAGAGGAUAGCCAGAGGAUAGAUAGAGGAGAUGAUAGCCAGAGGAUAGGUUGAGGAGAGGAUGGCCAGAGGAUAGGUAGAGGAGAGGAUAGCCAGAGGACAGGUAGAGGAGAGGAUAUUGAGGCUGUUCUGAGGGUAAAAAAUAGGAGAGGAUAGCCAGAGGAUAGGUAGUGGAGAAGAUAACCAGAGGAUAGGUAGAGGAGAGGAUAGCCAGAGGACAGGUAGAGGAGAUGAUAGCCAGAGGAUAGGUAGAGGAGAUGAUAGCCAGAGGAUAGGUAGAGGAGAUGAUAGCCAGAGGAUAGGUAGAGGAGAUGAUAGCCAGAGGAUAGGUAGAGGAGAGGAUAACCAGAGGAUAGGUAGAGGAGAGGAUAGCCAGAGGAUAGGUAGAGGAGAGGAUAGGAUAGGUAGAGGAAGAGGAGAGGAUAGCCAGAGGAUAGGUAGAGGAAGAGGAGAUGAUAGGAUAGGUAGAUGAAGAGGAGAGGAUAGUCAGAGGACAGGUAGAGGAAGAGGAGAGGAUAGCCAGAGGAUAGGUAGAGGAAGAGGAGAGGAUAACCAGAGGAUAGGUAGAGGAGAUGAUAGCCAGAUGACAGGUUUAGGAGAGGAUAACCAGAGUAUAGGUAGAGGAGUGGAUAGCCAGAGAAUAGGUAUAGCCAGGGGAUAGGUUUAGGAGAGGAUAGCCAGAGGAUAGGUAGAGGAGAGGAUAGCCAGAGGAUAGGUAGAGGAGAUGAUAGCCAGAUGACAGGUAGAGGAGAGGAUAGCCAGAGGAUAGAUAGAGGAGAUGAUAGCCAGAGGAUAGGUUUAGGAGAGGAUGGCCAGAGGAUAGGUAGAGGAGAGGAUAGUCAGAGGACAGGUAGAGGAGAGGAUAGGUAGAGGAGAGGAUAGCCAGAGGAUAGGUAGAGGAGAGGAUAGGAUAGGUAGAGGAAGAGGAGAGGAUAGCCAGAGGAUAGGUAGAGGAAGAGGAGAUGAUAGGAUAGGUAGAUGAAGAGGAGAGGAUAGUCAGAGGACAGGUAGAGGAAGAGGAGAGGAUAGCCAGAGGAUAGGUAGAGGAAGAGGAGAGGAUAACCAGAGGAUAGGUAGAGGAGAGGAUAGGUAGAGGAGAGGAUAACCAGAGGAUAGGUAGAGGAGAGGAUAGCCAGAGGACUGGUAGAGGAGAGGAUAGCCAGAGGAUAGGUUUAGGAGAGGAUAACCAGAGGAUAGGUAGAGGAGAUGAUAGCCAGAUGACAGGUUUAGGAGAGGAUAACCAGAGUAUAGGUAGAGGAGUGGAUAGCCAGAGAAUAGGUAAGGCCAGAGGAUAGGUUUAGGAGAGGAUAGCCAGAGGAUAGGUAGAGGAGAGGAUAGCCAAAGGAUAGGUAGAGGAGAUGAUAGCCAGAUGACAGGUAGAGGAGAGGAUAGCCAGAGGAUAGAUAGAGGAGAUGAUAGCCAGAGGAUAGGUUUAGGAUGGAUGGCCAGAGGAUAGGUAGAGGAGAGGAUAGCCAAAGGACAGGUAGAGGAGAGGAUAUUAGGGCUGUUCUGAGGGUAAAAAUUAGGAGAGGAUAGCCAGAGGAUAGCUAGUGGAGAAGAUAACCAGAGGAUAGGUAGAGGAGAUGAUAGCCAGAGGAUAGGUAGAGGAGAUGAUAGCCAGAGGAUAGGUAGAGGAGAGGAUAGCCAGAGGACAGGUAGAGGAGAGGAUAGCCAGAGGAUAGGUGGAGGAGAUGAUAGCCAGAGGAUAGGUAGAGGAGAUGAUAGCCAGAGGAUAGGUAGAGGAGAGGAUAACCAGAGGAUAGGUAGAGGAGAGGAUAACCAGAGGAUAGGUAGAGGAGAGGAUAACCAGAGGACAGGUAGAGGAGAGGAUAGAUAGAGGAGAGGAUAGCCAGAGGAUAGGUAGAGGAGAGGAUAGGAUAGGUAGAGGAAGAGGAGAGGAUAGCCAGAGGAUAGGUAGAGGAAGAGGAGAUGAUAGGAUAGGUAGAUGAAGAGGAGAGGAUAGCCAGAGGACAGGUAGAGGAAGAGGAGAGGAUAGCCAGAGGAUAGGUAGAGGAAGAGGAGAGGAUAGCCAGAGGAUAGGUAGAGGAGAGGAUAACCAGAGGAUAGGUAGAGGAGAGGAUAGCCAGAGGACAGGUAGAGGAGAGGAUAGCCAGAGGAUAGGUUUAGGAGAGGAUAACCAGAGGAUAGGUAGAGGAGAUGAUAACCAGAUGAUAGGUAGAGCAGAGGAUAGCCAGAGGACAGGUAGAGGAGAUGAUAGCCAGAGGACAGGUUUAGGAGAGGAUAACCAGAGUAUAGGUAGAGGAGAGAAUAGCCAGAGGAUUGGUAGAGGAGAGGAGAGGAUAUCCAGAGGAUAGGUAGAGGAGAGGAUAGCCAGAGGAUAGGUUUAGGAGAGGAUAGCCAGAGGAUAGGUAGAGGAGAGGAUAGCCAGACGAUAGGUAGAGGAGAUGAUAGCCAGAGGACAGGUAGAGGAGAGGAUAGCCAGAGGAUAGUUAGAGAUGAUAGCCAGAGGAUAGGUUUAGGAGAGGAUGGCCAGCGGAUAUGUAGAGGAGAGGAUAGCCAGAGGACAGGUAGAGGAGAGGAUAACCAGAGGAUAGGUAGAGGACAGGAUAACCAGAGGAUAGGUAGAGGAGAGGAUAGCCAGAGGAUAGGUAGAGGAGAGUAUAGCCAGAGGAUUGGUAGAGGAGAGGAGAGGAUAUCCAGAGGAUAGGUAGAGGAGAGGUAGAGGAGAGGAUAGUCAGAGGAUAGGUAGAGGAGAGGAUAGCCAGAGCAUAGGUAGAGGAGAGGAUAGCCAGAGGACAGGUAGAGGAGAGGAUAGCCAGAGGAUAGGUAGAGGAGAUGAUAGCCAGAGGACAGGUAGAGGAGAGGAUAGCCAGAGGAUAGUUAGAGAUGAUAGCCAGAGGAUAGGUUUAGGAGAGGAUGGCCAGAGGAUAUGUAGAGGAGAGGAUAGCCAGAGGACAGGUAGAGGAGAGGAUAACCAGAGGAUAGGUAGAGGAGAGGAUAACCAGAGGAUAGGUAGAGGAGAGGAUAGCCAGAGGAUAGGUAGAGGAGAGGAUAGCCAGAGGACAGGUAGAGGAGAGGAUAGCCAGAGGAUAGGUUUAGGAGAGGAUAACCAGAGGAUAGGUAGAGGAGAUGAUAGCCAGAUGACAGGUUUAGGAGAGGAUAACCAGAGUAUAGGUAGAGGAGUGGAUAGCCAGAGA